rnacentral:lncRNA from 1 species
UGGACAGGUUCCAGGCAUUUUUUUCAGAAAGCUUCCAGUGUAGUGGAUACAGAAACUUCAGGAAGGCAGGGCUGAGAAGGAUCUGAGUAAAACUCGGUCCUUCAACACCAUCCUUCAGCCCCUGGGUCAUGUUCCUUCGAGGUCCUGGUGGGAGGUAGACAAGCCUAGCCUUGUGCUGUUCCUGUAAGGACAGGGUGGGCAUUUUCUACCAACAGAAUUCUUGGAAUUUUCACACAGCCCAGCCUAGCCAAGUCCAGGGCUAUAGCCCAGAUACACAAGUUAAGGUCCCAGCACUGGCACCCACCACAGGAGCCCCCUUACCUCUAUUACCCAGAAGCUUGUAGGAGGGGUGGUCCGCAGACAAGGACCCUGCACAGGUGCGACCCUGCUUCCCUCCUGGUCAUAACUUUCAUGUUACUAUUGCUUGGGAUAAUGUUAAGUAAAAAUAGCAGACACUGAGUUUUAAGUCUCAAGUGGAUGAAGGCAGAGAUCGUGAUACACUUGAGUUAAAGCAGUAGGGUUCUGUCAUUUUCUAUUCCUAGGAUAUCAGGAUGUGGGAGCACAGGUGCCACCACAGCACUAGUGAUGGAGAGUCAUUGCCCCUAGACUUCUGGGACAGUGAGACUGUGAGGAAAGCUGAAAUGAUACUGGGAAAGGGUGAAAGAAAGGAUGUAGGUGGAAUUUAUUUAGUAUUAAUGUAGGUACACAUACCUUAUGGCAACAUUCCUAGCACUCUAAAUUCUAGAUUUGUAUAGUUUCUGUCAAUAUCUUUUGUAAGCUUAAUCAAUACAGGGCAUGACAAGUAUGUGUCACAUACUUUUUUUUCCACGAAGAAAAAAAAUAAGUAGGAAUUGGGUGCUUUGUUUAUCAAAAUUUGUAUUUCCUUUAUAAAUAAACUUUGAAAUAAAGGUUGAAAAUUAGUAUCUUUUCUAGCCGAGCCACCAUUGUUUUUAAAAAUCCUCUUUGAAGCAGGUGUGUGUGUGUGUGUGUGUGUGUGUGUGUGUGACGUUUUUCAACAAAAUUUUUAAAAAUCGAAAUGUCAGGGUCAGGUGCAGUGGCUCAUGCCUCUAAUUCCAGCACUUUGGGAGGCCGAUGUGGGAGGAUUGCCUGAGCUCAGGAGUUAAAGACCUCUCAAAAAAAGAAAAAAAGAAAAACAUGUACAACAUGGAAUAGAGUUGAUAUCCAGCCAGUAUACACUUUGAGUGAUCUCAUUCACACUCAGUGUAUCUUCAGCUACCCUCAUAUGAAGUCACAGACUCACACCUGUAUUUCCAGCACUUUGGGAGGCCAAGGCAGUAGGAUCACUACAGCCUGAGUUCAGGGCUGCAGUGAUCUAUGAUUGCAGCAUUGCACUGGAGCCUGGCCAACAGAGUGAGACCCUAUCUCUUAAAAAUUAAAAAAUAAAAAUAAGUCAUUAUAAAAGUGUAAUUAUCAAGACAGUUGGUAUUGGUGCAGAAAUAGACAAAAAGCCCCAUAAAACAGAAUGCAGAACCCAAAAAGAGGCUUAUUCAUAUACAGCAACCUGAAAAUAUACAGAGGUUAUGUAACAAAUUGGGAGACUUCAGAUUCUUAUAGGAACAUGGUAGAAACCUGGUUUUUAAUCUUCCAACUUCUGUAAAAACCAUACAGAGCAACAAGGUGAAUUUAAAAACAAAAAGGCACAAACUAGUGAAACAAG